rnacentral:rRNA from 1 species
CAAGGCUGAAACUAGAGGAAUUGGCGGGGAGCACCACAACGGGUGGAGCUGCGGUUUAAUUGGACUCAACGCCGGGCAGCUCACCGGAUAGGACAGCGGAAUGAUAGCCGGGCUGAAGACCUUGCUUGACCAGCUGAGAGGAGGUGCAUGGCCGUCGUCAGUUCGUACUGUGAAGCAUCCUGUUUAGUCAGGCAACGAGCGAGACCCACGCCAACAGUUGCUAGCGUGUUCUCCCGGAAUGAUGAGGACAAAAAAAAGGACCGCCCCUGCUAGGAGGGGGGGGGGGGUGGGCAACGGUAGGUCAGCAUGCCCCGAAUUAUCCGGGCUACACGCGGGCUACAAUGGUCAGAGCAAAAGGAAACGGCACUGAAAAGUGUAGUCAAUCUCCUAAACCUGUCCCAAGUUCGGAUUGUGGGCUGCAACUCGCCCACAUGAAGCUGGAAUCCGUAGUAAUCGCGUUUCAAAAUAGCGCGGUGAAUAAGUCCCUG